UACGUAGGGUCCGAGCGUUGUCCGGAAUUACUGGGCGUAAAGAGCUCGUAGGUGGUUUGUCGCGUUGUUCGUGAAAACUCACAGCUUAACUGUGGGCGUGCGGGCGAUACGGGCAGACUUGAGUACUGCAGGGGAGACUGGAAUUCCUGGUGUAGCGGUGGAAUGCGCAGAUAUCAGGAGGAACACCGGUGGCGAAGGCGGGUCUCUGGGCAGUAACUGACGCUGAGGAACGAAAGCGUGGGGAGCGAACAGG
rnacentral:rRNA from 1 species